rnacentral:rRNA from 1 species
CCUACGGGAGGCAGCAGUGGGGAAUAUUGGACAAUGGGCGAAAGCCUGAUCCAGCCAUGCCGCGUGUGUGAAGAAGGCCUUCGGGUUGUAAAGCACUUUCAGUGGGGAAGAAAGCCUUGGGGCUAAUACCCUCGAGGAAGGACAUCACCCACAGAAGAAGCACCGGCUAACUCCGUGCCAGCAGCCGCGGUAAUACGGAGGGUGCGAGCGUUAAUCGGAAUUACUGGGCGUAAAGCGCGCGUAGGCGGUCUGAUAAGCCGGUUGUGAAAGCCCCGGGCUCAACCUGGGAACGGCAUCCGGAACGGUCAGGCUAGAGUGCAGGAGAGGAAGGUAGAAUUCCCGGUGUAGCGGUGAACUGCGUAGAGAUCGGGAGGAAUACCAGUGGCGACGGCGGCCUUCUGGACUGACACUGACGCUGAGGUGCGAAAGCGUGGGAAGCAAACAGGAUUAGAUACCCGAGUAGUC